rnacentral:lncRNA from 1 species
AUAGCCUUAAUUGAUGUGAAGGUCAUACUUGUAAAUCAUUAGGAUAUACAUGUGUGUGCAUAUUUACACACACAAUAUGAAAUGUGUUCCACAUGAUGGUGAAGAUGAUGGUGCAGUGUGUUUCCAUCCAGUUGGUGGGCUGGCUGGGAGCCAAGCAGACUCAGGGUCUCGGGAAAUGGCGAUCUAAUGCCCAUGUCCUGGGCUGGUGGCACCAGGCAGGUAUGCCACUGAUUGUGAGCAUGCUCCCAGCAGAGCCCCACCAUGACCCAAACGGCAAGUGCCUCCUGCAAGAGGAGAUGGGGCACACCCAGUGCUCUGCCGGGGGUGAGCACAGCACAAAACACUUUAGGUGAGAAAAGCUCGAGAAAUAAUGUGUAAUAUCUUUGCAAUGUAUAGGGGUUCACUUCCAACUGUGGAAUAGCAGCCAGAUUUGGGGAUGGAGGUGGUUUCCAGGUGCAGGCUCUGGAAGGAGGUCUCUCCUCAGCUCCCAGAUGCCCUGCCUAAAGCCUGUGUUCCCGUAUACCCCCGAGACUGAGGCGCUGUCCCAGCUGAGACCUAGCCAGGCUGCCCAGCUGUAGUGGAGGCCACACAGACCGGUGAGGACCUGUCACCCUGGCUGAUCCACGGAGGUGGCAGACCUGUUGUACUGAUUCCAGGACAACUACUAGAAAACGUGGGGAUCUGAUCAAAGAGGUUGUGUGCCCAUGUUCCCUCCUUGGCAUGUUGAUGCCGCCUGAGGAGAAAUAAUCAUUCAGGGCCACUUUACUAGGUUCUCAUCCACAGGCCUCCUGAGAUACUGGUCUAUGUUAGGCCUCUGGAUUCAGCCAGGCUGAAGGCAUGGCCCAGUAGUCCACCACUGGUCGUUACAGUCUGGCUCCACUCCUGCCCCUGCACCACCAGCCCAUUGGUCACCAACCUAAAGCAGAAAAUGUGCUAAGUGGCAGCAAAGUGACUUUUAAAAUACUUUCCCACCUACCUACAUCAAAUCAAUAAGGCCUUGUCAGGCGUGCCUGCUUCCUGAGAGGGGCUGUGCCCAACUCCUGGAGCAGAGACCUCACGGCAGCUGCAAGGCUGACCUCCCACCGCUACAGCGGAGGCAACCAGGCCAGUGUAUGCCUGACGGGUGGGCACACAGCGCACCUGCAGAAGGCAGCUGGGCAGGGACUGCCUGCAUGGAACCAACACAUGGGCAGCAUGGACGUAAGAUGUCAGAGCUUCCAUACUCUCCUUGUUUUAGGAGGGGUUACACGAUUUGGACAGCUUAAAAUGUUAGGUGCCUUCUGUGUAAAGUUUCAGACUUUUCUUGGGUUAGACUAGAAGGCAGGACCAGGAGGGGCUGGCAGGGCAUCAGGCCGUCCUCAAGGUCGUCUGGCUGGGGCAGCAGGGAGCACCUGGUGGCACAGAGAGCUGCUUUUCCCCAGCAAACUUCUAUGUGACCAACAACUAGAUGAGAUUUUUAAAGAUGCGAGUGUUUCCAACUCCACGAAUAUUAUUAACUUCACUUUACAGAGGGUGAUACUGAUGUGGGAUACCAGGGAUUUAUCUUUUAAAGUUUACUGGAGGAAAUAAAAUCCCAAAUAUCCCCAAACUCUAAUUGUUCCAAAGAUCGGUGCUCAGGGAAGUGAGUGGAGAGUCACAGAGCUCAAUUCUUUCUGACUAGCACUGCGUCUCGAGGCCUCUGCAAGUUCCUCCAGGUCAUCGACUCUUGGCAGCACUUUUAUCCACAUUCAUUCUACUUUCUGAAAGUUUAAGUCAGUUGUUUAGAAUUGACUCUUUAUGCUCCUUGGAAAAUAAUGCCAGUUCUUGAAACUUUCUUAAAAUGGGUCUCAUUCUGCUUCUCAGAAUAACAAUAACUCUUGGCCUGGUAGAGGCCAGACUGAGAGUUUAUUAUUAUGAUGAAACACCAAAAUUAAACUAAAUACAUUUUAGCAUUUUUACAUGGCUUAAUGCUGAGUUUGUAAGCUAUUGGUUUAAACAUUAAAGUUGUCUACUUUUAAGGGAAUAAUUUAAGAUGACACAUGAUGUAGUUGCCAAACAAGCCGUGUUUCCUGAAGAUGGAUUAACAAGUGCUCCUGGGCCUCAGGUACGUGGGUUUACAUGCCUUCCUUAGUCAGAGAGGGUGCUCUGUCUUGGCAACACAAAUCUGAACCACACAACUGAACUUUCGACUGAAAUUCAAUUAAAUAAUCAUUUAAUUUAAAAAAUCAGUCAGAUGGCGUUUGUGGUGAAGAUCAAAUUGCUUGUGAUUGAAAUUUUGACUCCUGUCUGGUGUCAUGACAUGGUGUAGGCAAAGGCACACUGCACACACACGAGUGCACACAUGAGCAUAUACACAUGCACGCACACGCGAGAUGCAUGGGCACACACAUGAUAGUGAGCACAUGCACAUAUGUGCACACACAUGCUCAUGCAGGUGUGCACAUGUACACAGCACACACUCAUACGUACACAUGUACAUGCAUACAUGCACAGGCACAUGCACAUACACAUGUUACACACAUGCAUGCAAACACACAUACAAACACACACGGCCUCCUGGGUGGUGUCUGAGGGCCAGGCCAGCAGCCCUGCCUGGGGCAUCCAGGACCCCAGUUGGAAACUGUCCAGGGUAGUGUGGCCUGGCUGUGGACUGGUGCGUCCCCUUGGUGCAGCGAUGUAGGAUCUGCGCAUGGGGAGCAUACCUCGGAGGGUAGCUGGUGGGGGCUGAGCUGCACGUAGGCCCUCACUCUGUCACAUGCAGGUGGGGCAGGUUGGUGGGUGGCCCCUCACCCAGGUGCCAGCACAGCGCAGCUACAUCAGAGCUGCAUUGGGGUUGGGGCGAGUGCAGGGGCCAGACUGAGCUCCUGGGUACCCAGGGGGUCUGUGUUAUGCAGACUGCUGCGGCUUGGUUGGUGCUGACCUCCUAGGUCAUCUUUGGGUCUAGCUUCCCCUCUGAACAAGGGCUGCAUGCACGCAUGCUGUCCCCGGUGCCCUCAAAGUUAUUAUUGCCCCAAAGCACUGUUUCUCUCCAAGAUAUGAAAGAAAAUGAAUAAACGAUGUAGACCUUACGAAAAAUGACUUCUGG